CGCCACCCUCGGCCGACGCUCAGCAGCGGCAGCAGCGCGCGCAUGGCGGACGGUCUGCGAGAACCGCAGGGUCGGUGCUGGGCCCGGCGCGGCCGCUCGACGGCGCCCCCUGCCGCCCGGAGCCCGCACUGCCUCCCCGCGGUCGGCCUCAAGUGGCAUCAAGUCCCACCCUCUUCUGCAUUCCUGGGGCCACCUACCUCUCCACUUUGCUCCACAAGCCCUCAGAGGCCGAAGACCAUCAAGACAAGGACCUUAGAAGCCCCAGGAAUUCACCACCACGCACCCACUCACACACUGUCAGUGUCUGCGGUCAGACUUUGAUUACAUUAAUGUAGCACUUGGUUGCAUGCAUACCUCCAGAAAUUUCUAAAGGAACAUCCAAGCCGGAAGGAGGGAGUGUACACACACGCGCGCUUUGAGGUCUCCUGUAUCCAAGCUCCGCCCAGUGUGGAACACAGUCUCCUCCUGACUGCCUUCCAAUCAAGAUGUAGAACUCUCAGCUUGUCUAGUAUGGCUGCCUGCAUGCUGCCAUAUUUCCUUCCAUAGUAAUAAUGGACUGAACCUCUAAAACUGCAAGCUACUCUCAAUUAAAUGCUUUCCUUUAUAAGAGUCGCCUUGGUCAUAAUGUCUCUUCACAGUAAUGAUAAAAUUAA
rnacentral:lncRNA from 1 species